rfam:Myotis lucifugus cont2.10967, whole genome shotgun sequence.
AAGACACCCUUAUGAGGCAAGACUUGCUUCAGUGGGGCUUUGGUGCUCACUGAGUCUGCCCCCUGAGUGUGUUCAUU